UGCAUAUCAAUAAGCGGAGGAAAAGAAACUAACCAGGAUUCCCCUAGUAACGGCGAGUGAAGCGGGAAAAGCUCAAAUUUGUAAUCUGGCGCCUUUGGCGUCCGAGUUGUAAUCUCGAGAAGUAUUUUCCGCGCUGGACCGCACAUAAGUCUGUUGGAAUACAGCGUCAUAGUGGUGAGAACCCCGUAUAGGGUGCGGAUGCCCAGUGCUUUGUGAUCUACUUUCGAAGAGUCGAGUUGUUUGGGAAUGCAGCUCAAAUUGGGUGGUAAAUUCCAUCUAAAGCUAAAUAUUGGCGAGAGACCGAUAGCGAACAAGUACCGUGAGGGAAAGAUGAAAAGCACUUUGGAAAGAGAGUUAACAGUACGUGAAAUUGUUGGAAGGGAAACGCUUGAAGUCAGACUUGCAUUUUGGAGUUCAGCCGCAAGGUGUAUUCUUCAAUUCGCAGGCCAGCAUCAGUUUUUGGGGGUGGAAAAGCGUGGUUUGAAGGUAGCAGCUUCGGCUGUGUUAUAGCUUUCCACUGGAUUCACUUUUGGGGACUGAGGAACGCAGUACGCUUUUUGCAAGAUCUUCGGAUCUUUCGUACUUAGGAUGCUGGUGGAAUGGCUUUAAACGACCCGUCUUGAAACACGGACCA
rnacentral:rRNA from 1 species